UACGGAGGGGCGAGCGUUAUUCGGAAUUAUUGGGCGUAAAGGGCGCGUAGGCGGCUUGGUAAGUCAAAGGUGAAAUCCCUCGGCUCAACUGAGGAAUUGCCUUUGAAACUGCCUGGCUCGAGGCCGGGAGGGGGUAGCGGAAUUCCCAGUGUAGCGGUGAAAUGCGUAGAUAUUGGGAGGAACACCGGUGGCGAAGGCGGCUACCUGGACCGGUUCUGACGCUGAUGCGCGAAAGCGUGGGGAGCAAACAGG
rnacentral:rRNA from 1 species